UACGUAGGGGGCAAGCGUUGUCCGGAAUCAUUGGGCGUAAAGAGCGUGUAGGCGGCCCGGUAAGUCCGCUCUGAAAGUCCAGGGCUCAACCCUGGAAAGCGGGUGGAUACUGCCGGGCUAGAGUCCGGAAGAGGCGAGUGGAAUUCCUGGUGUAGCGGUGGAAUGCGCAGAUAUCAGGAGGAACACCAAUAGCGAAGGCAGCUCGCUGGGACGGUACUGACGCUGAGGCGCGAAAGCGUGGGGAGCGAACAGG
rnacentral:rRNA from 1 species